rnacentral:rRNA from 1 species
UACGUAGGGUGCAAGCGUUGUCCGGAAUUAUUGGGCGUAAAGAGCUCGUAGGCGGUUCGUCGCGUCGGCUGUGAAAUCCCGGAGCUCAACUCCGGGUCUGCAGUCGAUACGGGCGGACUAGAGUUCGGCAGGGGAGACUGGAAUUCCUGGUGUAGCGGUGAAAUGCGCAGAUAUCAGGAGGAACACCGGUGGCGAAGGCGGGUCUCUGGGCCGAUACUGACGCUGAGGAGCGAAAGCGUGGGGAGCGAACAGG